GACGAACGCUGGCGGCGUGCUUAACACAUGCAAGUCGAACGGAAAGGCCCUGCUUUUGUGGGGUGCUCGAGUGGCGAACGGGUGAGUAACACGUGAGUAACCUGCCCUUGACUUUGGGAUAACUUCAGGAAACUGGGGCUAAUACCGGAUAGGAGCUCCUGCUGCAUGGUGGGGGUUGGAAAGUUUCGGCGGUUGGGGAUGGACGCGCGGCUUAUCAGCUUGUUGGUGGGGUAGUGGUUUACCAAGGCUUUGACGGGUAGCCGGCCUGAGAGGGUGACCGGCCACAUUGGGACUGAGAUACGGACCAGACUCCUACGGGAGGCAGCAGUGGGGAAUAUUGCACAAUGGGCGGAAGCCUGAUGCAGCAACGCCGCGUGCGGGAUGACGGCCUUCGGGUUGUAAACCGCUUUCGCCUGUGACGAAGCGUGAGUGACGGUAAUGGGUAAAGAAGCACCGGCUAACUACGUG
rnacentral:rRNA from 1 species